AGCCAACCCUGAAGACGCUCCCGCAGGCGAACGAGCUCCGGGUUUCCGUCCCCGCACGCCUGCUCCGACGUCCCCGCAGGGAACAGGGCCUCCAGGCCGACCGAAGAGGAGUGGUGGAUACACAUUAAAGGAUGGCCAAAGUGUCAAAUGAGGAGGUGAGAGGUGAGGUGUCAUGGUCCCUGGGUCUUGGAUCCAGGGCUUUGUGUUCUUGGUUACACAAUGUUCCUGUUCCUCCGGCAUGUCCCCGGGUCUGCCUUGUCACUCUGCGUUCUGUCUCCCUGGCUUUCUGAUUUCCUCUUUUGUAUUUCCAUUUUGUUCCUUCUACCUUAUCUCCAUGUUUGUUUAUCUUCUGUCUCUUUGUCAAGUUCCUGUGGGUCUCUGUGUGUGUGCCCGCGUUUAUUUUGAUAGUGUUUUGUGUGCUUCAUAUCGUUUUAAUUCCCCUGCUUUGUUAUCCUGAUUUGUUGCGGCUGCUGGUGUUUCCCCAUCUCCCUAAUUACCUGGUGUGUAUUUAAAUCCUCGGUUUCCUGCUGCUGUUCGUUGUGUCCUCCCUUGCAGACUUCCUUGAAGGUUUGUAGUGGUUGGUUUUGAUCUGGAUUAUUUUGUACUCAGUUUAAGUUCUGCAAUAA